AACUUUCGAUUGGUAGGAUAGAGGCCUACCAUGGUGGUAACGGGUAACGGGGUGUUAGGGCACGACACCGGAGAGGGAGCCUGAGAAACGGCUACCACAUCCAAGGAAGGCAGCAGGCGCGCAAAUUACCCAAUCCCGACACGGGGAGGUAGUGACAAUAAAUAACAAUACAGGGUUCUUUUGGAUCUUGUAAUUGGAAUGAGUACAAUUUAAAUCUCUUAACGAGGAACAAUUGGAGGGCAAGUCUGGUGCCAGCAGCCGCGGUAAUUCCAGCUCCAAUAGCGUAUAUUAAAGUUGUUGCAGUUAAAAAGCUCGUAGUUGAAUUUCGGGAUCAAGGAAUCGGUCAUGCCUUGGUAUGUACUGGUUUUAUUGGUUCUCACCUUCUAAAGAACCAUAAUGUCAUUCAUUUGAUGUUAUGGGGAAUUAGGACUGUUACCUUGAAAAAAUUAGAGCGUUUAAAGCAGGCUUACGCUUGAAUACAUUAGCAUGGAAUAAUGAAAUAGGACAUCAGAUUCUAUUUUGUUGGUUUCUAGGAUCGAUGUAAUGAUUAAUAGGGAUAGUUGGGGGCAUUAGUAUUCAAUUGUCAGAGGUGAAAUUCUUGGAUUUAUUGAAGACUAACUACUGCGAAAGCAUUUGCCAAGGAUGUUUUCAUUAAUCAAGAACGAAAGUUAGGGGAUCGAAGACGAUCAGAUACCGUCGUAGUCUUAACCAUAAACUAUGCCGACUAGGGAUCGGAUGAUGUUAAUUUUAUAGUGACUCAUUCGGCACCUUACGGGAAACCAAAGUGUUUGGGUUC
rnacentral:rRNA from 1 species